rnacentral:rRNA from 1 species
GGAGCUUGCUUCUCCGGAUGAGUUGCGAACGGGUGAGUAACGCGUAGGUAACCUGCCUGGUAGCGGGGGAUAACUAUUGGAAACGAUAGCUAAUACCGCAUAACAGUAGAUAUUGCAUGAUAUCUGCUUGAAAGGUGCAAUUGCAUCACUACCAGAUGGACCUGCGUUGUAUUAGCUAGUUGGUGGGGUAACGGCUCACCAAGGCAACGAUACAUAGCCGACCUGAGAGGGUGAUCGGCCACACUGGGACUGAGACACGGCCCAGACUCCUACGGGAGGCAGCAGUAGGGAAUCUUCGGCAAUGGACGGAAGUCUGACCGAGCAACGCCGCGUGAGUGAAGAAGGUUUUCGGAUCGUAAAGCUCUGUUGUAAGAGAAGAACGAGUGUGAGAGUGGAAAGUUCACACUGUGACGGUAUCUUACCAGAAAGGGACGGCUAACUACGUGCCAGCAGCCGCGGUAAUACGUAGGUCCCGAGCGUUGUCCGGAUUUAUUGGGCGUAAAGCGAGCGCAGGCGGUUAGAUAAGUCUGAAGUUAAAGGCUGUGGCUUAACCAUAGUACGCUUUGGAAACUGUUUAACUUGAGUGCAAGAGGGGAGAGUGGAAUUCCAUGUGUAGCGGUGAAAUGCGUAGAUAUAUGGAGGAACACCGGUGGCGAAAGCGGC